AUCAUGAGUCGCUGUCAAGAUAAAGCAAGACUCAUGAAAACAUUGAAAAAGGAAUGUGGUCUUCUAAAAGAAGAACUAAAAAUUUUUCAAAAUAAAGUUGAAACUUUGGAGAAAGGUCACAUUACUCUAGUAAAUAAAUUAUCUGAUAAAAACUUGAAUGAGCGUGAGAUAGCUCUUCAAGAAUGUAUCAUAUCAGGUAUGGAAAGAAUCAAGUUUGCCUCCAUAAUAUAUGGAGUAAGCAAGAGCAAAGGAAAAGGUAUGAGUUAUGAUAAGAAUAAAGAUAAAGCUCAACUUAUAAAAACCUCAGAUGUUUCUCCUUCAAGCAAUUCUCAAACUAGUAAAGUAACUUGUUUUGUGCCUGCCUUUGACAAGGAUAAAAGUCUGAACAAAUCAGAACCCAAGAUGAUUGAGUCAAAGUUUCUGAAGAAAGUAGAACCUAAGAUCUAUGGACCUAAUGUUAUGAAGAGUGCAAAUGUCAAGAUUCAUUCUAGAAAAAACAUUUAUAAACAAAAAGUCUGGAAUGAAUAUAGAUCCUUCUAUCGGAAGAAGGCUCAGAAUAAAAUAAUACAUGUAAGAACUUACCAGAAAGGACCUAUAAAAGUAUGGGUACCUAAAUCUCAAAUUGGAAUCUCAAGUCAAAGGAGAAACUCCGGCGGUUCUUCAAGUGACGGUGUUGAGGAACGGUGAUCCACAAGCCUUCUACUUUCUCAGACUGAGCUUAGCAGAAUAAUGCAGGAUGUAAGGUGUUGGGAUCCUAAGCUUCUCAGCUAGAUUGGGUUUAAAGCGAAAGCUCGGUUAACAGAUAUGCAUUUCCUAUGGAUGUAUGGUGAUGAACCUUGGCUGUUGUAGGAUUAUUGCAGACCGGUGGUGAGGUUUGCAGAUUUUGCUUUGCUACGAGUUGCACAGAUUGUCAGUGGUAUAACAUGUAGGUUGUAAGCUAUGAAGACCAAGGAAACUAGAAUCAUUCUCAUCUUGUCAUGUUAAUGUAGUUACCAUUAUUUGACCAAAAGAAUGUAAUUGUAGGAGACUUGCUUAUGUAAUAAAAAAUGUGUUGUAUAGCUUCCCUCUUAUGCAAAUAUUUGAUGCAUUCCAUGUGAACUAAAGUUACAAGAUUUACACCA